AUGCGGCUCUUCGACGCGCACUGCCACCUGCAGGACCCCCGCAUCGCGGCGGCCGCCCCCGCCCUCAUACGCGCCGCCACAGCCUCCGGCGUCGGCCGGUUCGCGGUCAACGGCACCUCCGAGAAAGACUGGCACCUGGUGAAGCAGAUGGCCCAGGAGCACCCGGCUGUCAUCCCCUGCUUCGGCCUCCACCCAUGGUGGGUACCGGAGAGGUCGCCUGAUUGGAUGGAUUCGCUCCGGCAGUUCUUCUCGGAGACCCCAGAGGCGGCUGUUGGAGAGGUUGAAGUAUUCCAACGACAACUUGAACUUGCUAAGGAAUUGGAGAAACCUGUUUCUGUUCAUUGUGUACGUACCUUCGGCGAUCUUCUGGAAAUACUAAAGCGUACUGGGCCUUUCCCAGCAGGUGUGCUGUUGCAUUCUUAUCUGGGGUCUGCAGAAAUGGUGCCCGGCCUUGCAAAUUUAGGUUGUUACUUUUCGUUGUCUGGUUUCCUUACAGGCAUGAAAUCUACUAAGGCAAAGAAAAUGCUCAAAGCAAUACCCUUGGACAGGAUUCUGUUAGAGACAGAUGCACCAGAUGCAGUACCAAAGUUGGACAAUGUUUCUCUAGUUACAGUUUUGAAGUAUGUGGCAUCACUGCUUGAAAUGCCGGAAGCAGAACUCGCCGAGGCGAGCUACAGGAACGCCACCAAACUGUUCUCCUACCCUGGACCCAAAGUUCAUCCCGAAGCUGAAACUGUGUGA
rnacentral:rRNA from 1 species